ACUUGGUGACUUUUUAUGAUUGCUUUCUGCUCGUCUGAAUAAAGGAUGAGCCCAGGGCCUGCUGCCCACUGUCUGCUCUGAUGACCCUCUCUCCCCUGCAGAUCCGAGUGAUGGUGGACCUGUGCAACAGCACCAAGGGCAUCUGUCUCACAGGACCUCCGGGAGCCGGCGGGUUGCCAGGACACAAUGGAUUGGAUGGACAGCCUGGUCCUCAGGGCCCAAAAGGAGAAAAAGGAGCAAAUGGAAAAAGAGGAAAAAUGGGUAUUUUUGGCAACUCUUCUAAUUAAUUUCCCUGUUAUUUAUCUCCAUGAUUGCAUUUGGGUUGACUAAAACUGUGUGCAGCAGGGGUAAGGUGUUUCAUCUCUGCACAGUUUAAGGCCGGUUUAACUCUUACAUAGAAGCUAUUGUGUUCUGGGAUACCAAGGGUAUACUUCUUGGUCCCACCUUGACAGAUGUUUAUUUCAAACUGGAGAAGCCGUCUCCUGGGAACUGACUCCCACCCUUCUGCUGCAGAUGGGAGGUGGAAGGAGCAGGAGCCCACAGCCCUGGGAGGGGCAUUCUGUGGGCCGUGUGACAGCUGGUGCUGGUGCA
rnacentral:sRNA from 1 species